rnacentral:rRNA from 1 species
CCUACGGGAGGCUGCAGUGGGGAAUAUUGCACAAUGGGGGAAACCCUGAUGCAGCGACGCCGCGUGAGUGAAGAAGUAAUUCGUUAUGUAAAGCUCUAUCAGCAGGGAAGAAAAUGACGGUACCUGAGUAAUAAGCCCCGGCUAACUACGGGCCAGCAGCCGCGGUAAUACGUAGGGGGAAAGCGUUAGCCGGAUUUACUGGUUGUAGAGGGAGCGUAGACGGCAGUGCAAGUCUGGUGUGAAAGGCCGGGGCUCAACCCCCGGACUGCUCUGGAAACUGUACGGCUGGAGUGCAGGAGAGGGAAGUAGAAUUCCUGGUGUAGCGGUGAAAUGCGUAGAUAUUAGGAGGAACACCAGUGGCGAAGGCGGCUCACUGGACGGUAACUGACGUUGAGGCUCGAAAGCGUGGGGAGCAAACAGGAUUAGAUACCCGAGUAGUC